AAUCGUUCGAAGCAAACCAGUGCAUUCGCUCUUUCUCGGUUCUCUUCUCACGUAUCGCGGUUUCCUUCGUUCGUCGAAGUCGCUCGCCGCUCAUCCCCCGCAGCCGGAGGCUUGCGGAGGAGGAGAAAGAGACACUGAAACCUUGAGAGUUUUGACGUCCUCGCACGGCGCUUUCUUUCCAUGUGGCCUGCCGUCUCUUCGCUUCUUCAUCGAUGAAGAAGAUUUUUGGGAGUUGCUUUUGGGCUACCAUGAAGCUGUUAUACCAUGUGACAUGUUUGAUUUUAUGCACAAUGCCGUGGCACUAGCUUCAACUGGUUGAAUCCGUGGACGGAUCUGCUACCAUCUGUUGUUGCUUUCAGCUGCUAGAAACGUCUUGCUAAAAGGGAAGUCUACCAAGGGUGGGCGUAAGGUCAUCGCUCGCAGGUUGGCAAAGGGCAGAGCAAGGAUUGCGGUCUAGGAUGUUGCUGUAACAAGUCAGAUGGAUGCGGGUGGUACAGGAUCAUGCCAUGGCGACUCCAUAUCUCCAUGAUCCGAGAUGUUGAGAUCAGAUGCUCAGUAUUACUGCAGAGUUUUAGUGUUAAAAAUUGGAAAUCUCUUAGUGCAACUAUUAUUUGUAAACUUGUCAUUGGGUGUUCUUCAUCUAUUUUCCAAUAUUUCUUUUGGUUCAAUUUACAUUGACAUGGAGAAUUUCAAAUGGAUGUUGUUAUGAAUAAUUUUGUUUUACACAAAGAUAGCUUUAUGAAGAGAAAUGGAUGAAGAGGCAUGCCUUGUAGUGUUUAUUAACCAUCUCUCCUCAUCUUGAAGUGUAUACAGGUUCAAAUAUUUGACCCAGGUAAUUCUCCUGGUGGGGAUUAUGAUGUGCAUCCAAGGGAUUCUCCAUUGUGCUGAUGUGAGUGCUCCAAAUCAGAGUCCGACAGUACUAUCUCCUCUGAGGUAAGACGGCACAAUCGCUGGUCCAAACAUGAUCAUCCCACAAUCAUCAUCAGUCAAUUCUUCCCUCUAGAAUUGAUUUCAUGUGAUCUCCUGACCCCACAGGUUUGGCCAACUUCUACAGAUCUCACCAAUGUGCAUCAUGCUUCUUGGAUUGAGGGAGACAAAGAAGCAAAGGUGUCAUUGUACCAAGUAGGACUAUGUCCUGUAGCUCAAUAGCAGGCCCCCAAAUAAGGUUUGCUGACUCUCUCCUCUGAAAGCUGCACUUUGUUGGAUGUACUGCAUUAUUUGAGUUGUGCGCCUCACAAGCCAGGACAUGGAUCCUUGCCAUCGAACAGAUAAGAAAUCUGCGGCCUGCAAAGCCAUCAAGAUGCUAAUGGCUACCUGCCUUUGAUGCAUACUGCCAUUCUGCUGCAGAAUAAGGCAAGUAAGGUGGAUCCAACAAAGCUGGGAGUUCAAGUCAUCAUACAUCAGUAUAAUACACAGUGAAAUUCCUAGUAUUGUCUUCACUGGCUGUUCAUGGAUCACAAGCAGCUCACCCUGUGGUCUGGAUGGAGACAUGCUCUUCCUCAACAAUUUCCAUCUCCCACCUGCACACGCAGAGAGGAUAAGAGAGGAUCAGUGACACAACACACGCCAAGGUAAAAUGAUUGAUAGCAGGGCUGGGCUGUGCUGUGCCAAAGAAACUUUUCCCUGCCCACUUGCCUGCUAAAUGGCAAAUCUGUGUCUGCGCCUCAUACAAUGCAGAAACAAAGAAAGAAACAAAAGCUUGAAAUGCCUCUUCUGCCUUCAGAUCUACCUCCAUCCUCCGCAUUCCUAUGGCUCUCUGAAACUUGCAGCAGUACAUGACAAUGAAUUAUAGGGUGGCAUCUUGGAAUCUAAUAUGUUGUACUUCACCCUUAUAUCUGCCGUUCAUUCUCACUGUUUUUGUUUCCGUAUGAAGGUUUAACCCAUUGUUAUCUGUUCCUUUUCUUAUCAUCUCUUCCCCAGGAAUGUUCCUCUUUGCUGCCCUCAUAACAAAAUUCCAAAUGCUUGUGGUAUAUAAUUUUAUUUUACUAUUUGGAAUAUAAUUUUAUUUUAUUCCAAAUAUUUUUUUAAUUUUGUCAACCAUUAUCUAAUGAUAAGGUGGUUCGAGUCUUAAAAAUAACCUCUUGAUAAAUCUAAGACGGCAUAUAUUAAUCUUAGUUUAUUCUCAUAUUUGACUUUGCCUAUAAUAUAAAUUGUAAUAUUUCAACUAUUUAAAUUAAUUAUAUGAAUCUUUUUUUUUAUCAUCGAAUGUUAUACUAAUCGAAUCAAGCGCAAUGAAUUCGUAAGUGUUUUCUUUAUUUCUUCUCGUACCACUGAUAAUAAAUAUCUCGUAGUACCAUCUAUUUAAAUCUUCAGCUAAAUAAUCUUUUUAUAUUUUAUUUCUUCAAUGGUGCUAUGGUUAAUUACUCACAAAAUUAAAAAGAAUGAAUAAUUAGGAGUACUUGGGAGAUUGCCUUCAACAACUGUUCCCUUCUCUCCAUAUGCCAUGUAUAUAUUCCCAUCUGAAUACCUCCUCAGGAGAUUCCUUGCAUUCAGGUACUCCCUCUCUUCACUGUAGAAGGUAUGCAACAACUCCCCAUCUCCCUCUUGAAAUGUUCCAUCAAGAUCAAAAUCACCAAGUCCAACUACCAAAUGUCCAUCAUCAGCAGCAUCAAGGACAAGAAUGGGUCAGAUAUCUGCACUUGUCUCCAACGUACUGCUCGUCGCAGCCCAAUGAUCCCCUGCUGAUGACCGGAUCAGGCACAAGCAGCAACGACGAACUCGUCAGAGAAGCCGAGCAUGAAUCGAGCCUGCGGUGGACGAGGAAGACGGUGGCUUCAGAUGAACCUGCCGCAGGUAGACCAGGAAGAGUCUCACGAACUCCUCACCAUGAUAGCUGUAGCAGCAGCUCACCUGGUGGUGUCAUCAGAUUCUGCUCGGACUGCAGCACUACGAAGACUCCCUUGUGGAGAAGCGGACCGCAGGGUCCCAAGUCUCUUUGUAAUGCCUGCGGGAUAAGGCGGAGGAAGGCGCGACGUGCCAUGGCGCCCGAAGCAGCAGCAGCAGCAGUAGGAAGUGAUGGAAGAAGAAUCCCGGCAGAUAGACCUACAAAAGCUCUCAAACAGAAGAAGAAGAAGAAGAAGAAGAUUCGAUUCGACGACGAUAAGAGCUCAGCUUUCCAUCAGGUCUUCCCCCAGGAUGAAAAGGAUGCAGCCGUCUUGUUGAUGGCUCUCUCUUGUGGCCUCAUCCAUGGUUGAGUCGCCUCCUAUCUCCUGACACAGUAUCAAGGUGUAAUCUUCCAUCUGUUGCUUUAAUGUUCAUCUGUUAUCAAGUUGGGAAUAUCCAUUCUUCAGUACUCCAA